UCUCUCACACACAUACACACAAUAUACACUGUCUCAAACAAAUUUUGCUCUCUUUUGACACUACCAAGCCUCACCUCGCUCACCACCGUCGUUGGCCACCGACGAGAGAGACCGUCGCACAUCGCCACCGCUACCUGCAAAGCACCAGUGCCACUUAAUCACAGGAUACACUGCAUCACAACUGACUCCAGUACAACCAACCAUUGAUUUGGUGAAUGCUUCUGAAGUUAGAAAUCUAAUUCUGUUGAAGGGAUACUUCAAAGGGUCUUGUAAUACAUGGGAUCAUACUUUUGAUGGUGUUAUGCACCAUGAUCUUGGAUUAUGUGCUCUUGGUGGACUUAUUAGUCAUCUAUCCAGGAUGACGUUAGAUGAUGUUUUGCAUAACGGAGAUAUUCGACCAUACCAAGUCUAUAAGGGUUACCUCAGAAUGGAUGGGUAGACACUGGUUAAUCUUGAGAUUUUUGGUAAUAAUGUUGAUGGUGGUCCAUCAGGCAAGUGUUCAUAAACUCACCUUCAAUUAUGAUACUUAGUUUUAGAGGUCGUGCCUUAUAGUUAAUAGUUUUGUUUUCUUAGUUAUACUCUUAUAAGUUUCUUUUAUUCGAGUUUCAGGUACACUUUACAAUUAUCUUAAUAACUUUUUGACAUCAUCUGGUAGACGACUUUUAAAGAAUUGAAUCUGUCAUCCUCUAAAAGAUUUAGAGCAAAUCAACUGUAGGCUUAAUGUUAUUAGGGAGCUAAUGGCACAUUCAGAAUUUAUGUCACUCAUUGCUCAAUAUCUUCGUAAGUGUCCAGACUUGGACAGGUUGCUUGGACGGGUUAAGGCUAGCUUUCAGUCAUCUGCUUCACUUGUACUGCCUUUGAUUGGCUGAAAGUUUUGAAGCAGCGAGUAAGUCUUGUCUACUUCUAACAUGGGACGAUAGUAAUGGUGUUCUUCUGCUGGUCUGUUAUGUGGUAACCAUUUAUUUAGAUUUUGGUCUAGUAACUGUGUGUGGCCUUUGUUGACUCGCUAAUAAUUCUUGAAAUUAUACAUACUAGUAUACAAAGAUAAUUAGAAUAUAUCUUUUACUAGUUUGUAGGAAAAAAAUCAUUUUGUAUCAAUUCUUUUUGUUUGAUCAGAAUAUAUAUUUGUCUGCUUGUGGCACAAGUAAAAAAGUUUGGGGCUUUUGUUAAAGGCCUACGUGUUGGAAUGGAUUUGUCGAUACUUUUGUAGAAUGAGGGGCGUAUGAUCUUAUCAUUAUCGAAAGUUCUAAAGCUUCCAUUGCUAAAUGGUAAUGAUGGGCUUGAUAAAUUCCUUGCUCAAUUUAAAGCAGCUAUAGAAAGUGACUUCCCUAACUACCAGGUUUGCUUUUUUAUCAUUUAUUAAACAUAAUUUCUUCCAAGACUUUUCUGCUUAUGUAUCUCGACUACAUGGCGAAUUCUGGCUGAUCUACUAGCCGUCAAAUAGAUGUUGGCUGUUAUUAGCGUGCUCUGUAUUCGAGUACUAUACGAUGCAAAUGUCACUUUAGAUAUAUACUAAUUUAUUUGGCUCCAAGGUGGACAUCACCUGCAGAGUUAUGUAUUAAAGCAUCUCACUUUGUGUUAUCCAAUUUGUUUCUGUUGUAAGCAAGAUAUCAUGCAAGAAAAGCAAGAUAUACAUCUUUAUGUAUUAAUUUGGUUGUCCUUAUCCAAUAGUAUAUUAAUAUUUCUGUUUUUCUGCCUACAUCAUGUCCCAUUUGAAUAGUGGUUGACUGGUUGAGAUUCAUGAUGUUUAUGAUCAGUUCAGAUGUGUGUUCAAGCCAUAAACACUUGUUGAACUAAUUUACUACAUUUUUCAGUUCUUUAAAACUAUAAGGUGAAUUAAACUGUGGAAACUGAAGAAGCAAGUUAUGUAUUUUUUUCCUUUAAGCCUUCUUGAUGCUAAUUGUGAACUUCAAAAAUAUAAUUGUAAGUUCUGCUGGAAAAAUGUUGGUGUUGCAUCUAUGGUGAAAAGUGCAUUUGUUUACCAAAACAUAUUGUUGCAGGCUCAUGAUGACAUAUGAUAUAUAGCAUCUCUUAUAGUUCAAAUUCAACAAAAAGUUCUACAUUGUGUGCUCCUCUGUUGCAUAUUUUAAGUUCAUUUAUCACUAAACAUGCUUGUUAUCAUUCCAUGAAAUGCAACUGUAUAGCAUUAGUCAUGAUGAAUGAAGUUCCAACUUGCGUACUACACACUAAAAUUACAUGCUUAGUGGAUUUUAUGAGAUGAUGAGGGUAGGAGUAUCAUGUAUCUUUGCACUAUUUGUAUUAAUUUCGGUACAUUUAGUCUUACUAAAUAUACCGAAAUUAAUGCUUGUAUUUUUUGUAACUUUAGGAGAGGUCCGUGUAAUUUAUCCUUUUCUAAAUGCAUAGAGUAUCACUGUCAAACAUUAUACUUGGAUAAGGAUAUGAGUAUGAGAUAUGUAGACAAUAUGUGUAACUAGACAUUCACCUGCAAACAUACUUACCAAUUCGAGUUAAUCGUAAAACUAUACAGAAAAUAGGAAUAAAAUGCUUUAUGGCAUAUUGUGCACACCAUUCUACUCUAGAAAAUAAAUGAAAUUUGUUAAGAAAUAGGAAUAUUUUGUAAUGUACUUGAAUAUCAUAUUAAAUUAAAGGAAUUGGAUACCUAGAGACAAACCUAUAUAGCUUUCUUUAUUAAAAUUUAUUUAAAUAAGGGCGUUAAGGAGGCGAAAAUGCAAAACAGUCCCCGAACCACUGUAUGGAUAUCACAACCAGCUUUCCCAUGACAAAUAGGACCUAUGACAACAGACGAAAUGUAAUUAGCACGUGUAGAUUAGGAAUUAGAGCCGAAAAUGCUUUUAACUUAAUUGAAAAAAGGCAUUACGGGGGCGAAAAUGCAAAACAGCCCCCGAACCACCGUACCGAUGUCACAACUAGCUUCCUCACGAAAAAUAAGACCUGUGACAACAGACAGAAUAUAAUUAGCAUGUGUAGGUUGGGAGUUAGAGCCGAAAAUGCUUUAAACUUAACCGAAAAAGGGCGUUGAGGGGGCGAAAAUGAAAAACAGCCCUUGAACC